AGUCCCUGUAUUUUCUGUGAAGGAGCUGUAAGUAGGGUGGGACAGAGAUGGCACCUGGGGGUUCUGAGGCACCCGCUCCUCUCUGAGACAGACAGGGAUCAGGAGCCGGACUGGGACCAGACCACCAGCAACACACCAGAGGAUGUUCUCUAAAUAAGACCAUGGCACUUAAGAACAUUAACUACCUUCUCAUCUUCUACCUCAGUUUCUCACUGCUUAUCUACAUAAAAAAUUCCUUUUGCAAUAAAAACAACACCAGGUGCCUCUCAAAUUCUUGCCAAAACAAUUCUACAUGCAAAGAUUUUUCAAAAGACAAUGAUUGUUCUUGUUCAGACACAGCCAAUAAUUUGGACAAAGACUGUGACAACAUGAAAGACCCUUGCUUCUCCAAUCCCUGUCAAGGAAGUGCCACUUGUGUGAACACCCCAGGAGAAAGGAGCUUUCUGUGCAAAUGUCCUCCUGGGUACAGUGGGACAAUCUGUGAAACUACCAUUGGUUCCUGUGGCAAGAACUCCUGCCAACAUGGAGGUAUUUGCCAUCAGGACCCUAUUUAUCCUGUCUGCAUCUGCCCUGCUGGAUAUGCUGGAAGAUUCUGUGAGAUAGAUCACGAUGAGUGUGCUUCCAGCCCUUGCCAAAAUGGGGCCGUGUGCCAGGAUGGAAUUGAUGGUUACUCCUGCUUCUGUGUCCCAGGAUAUCAAGGCAGACACUGCGACUUGGAAGUGGAUGAAUGUGCUUCAGAUCCCUGCAAGAACGAGGCUACAUGCCUCAAUGAAAUAGGAAGAUAUACUUGUAUCUGUCCCCACAAUUAUUCUGGUGUAAACUGUGAAUUGGAAAUUGACGAAUGUUGGUCCCAGCCUUGUUUAAAUGGUGCAACUUGUCAGGAUGCUCUGGGGGCCUAUUUCUGCGACUGUGCCCCUGGAUUCCUGGGGGAUCACUGUGAACUCAACACUGAUGAGUGUGCCAGUCAACCUUGUCUCCAUGGAGGGCUGUGUGUGGAUGGAGAAAACAGAUAUAGCUGUAACUGCACGGGUAGUGGAUUCACAGGGACACACUGUGAGACCUUGAUGCCUCUUUGUUGGUCAAAACCUUGUCACAAUAAUGCUACAUGUGAGGACAGUGUUGACAAUUACACUUGUCACUGCUGGCCUGGAUACACAGGUGCCCAGUGUGAGAUCGACCUCAAUGAAUGCAAUAGUAACCCCUGCCAGUCCAAUGGGGAAUGUGUGGAGCUGUCCUCAGAGAAACAAUAUGGACGCAUCACUGGACUGCCUUCUUCUUUCAGCUACCAUGAAGCCUCAGGUUAUGUCUGUAUCUGUCAGCCUGGAUUCACAGGAAUCCACUGCGAAGAAGACGUCAAUGAAUGUUCUUCAAACCCUUGCCAAAAUGGUGGUACUUGUGAGAACUUGCCUGGGAAUUAUACUUGCCAUUGCCCAUUUGAUAACCUUUCUAGAACUUUUUAUGGAGGAAGGGACUGUUCUGAUAUUCUCCUGGGCUGUACCCAUCAGCAAUGUCUAAAUAAUGGAACAUGCAUCCCUCACUUCCAAGAUGGCCAGCAUGGAUUCAGCUGCCUAUGUCCAUCUGGCUACACCGGGUCCCUGUGUGAAAUCGCAACCACACUUUCAUUUGAGGGCGAUGGCUUCCUGUGGGUCAAAAGUGGCUCAGUGACAACCAAGGGCUCAGUUUGUAACAUAGCCCUCAGGUUUCAGACUGUUCAGCCAAUGGCUCUUCUACUUUUCCGAAGCAACAGGGAUGUGUUUGUGAAGCUGGAGCUGCUAAGUGGCUACAUUCACUUAUCAAUUCAGGUCAAUAAUCAGUCAAAGGUGCUUCUGUUCAUUUCCCACAACACCAGCGAUGGAGAGUGGCAUUUCGUGGAGGUAAUAUUUGCAGAGGCUGUGACCCUUACCUUAAUCGACGACUCCUGUAAGGAGAAAUGCAUCGCGAAAGCUCCUACUCCACUUGAAAGUGAUCAAUCAAUAUGUGCUUUUCAGAACUCCUUUUUGGGUGGUUUACCAGUGGGAAUGACCAGCAAUGGUGUUGCUCUGCUUAACUUCUAUAAUAUGCCAUCCACACCUUCGUUUGUAGGCUGUCUCCAAGACAUUAAAAUUGAUUGGAAUCACAUUACCCUGGAGAACAUCUCGUCUGGCUCAUCAUUAAAUGUCAAGGCAGGCUGUGUGAGAAAGGAUUGGUGUGAAAGCCAACCUUGUCAAAGCAGAGGACGCUGCAUCAACUUGUGGCUGAGUUACCAGUGUGACUGCCACAGGCCCUAUGAAGGCCCCAACUGUCUGAGAGAGUAUGUGGCAGGCAGAUUUGGCCAGGAUGACUCCACUGGUUAUGUCAUCUUUACUCUUGAUGAGAGCUAUGGAGACACCAUCAGCCUCUCCAUGUUUGUCCGAACGCUUCAACCAUCAGGCUUACUUCUAGCUUUGGAAAACAGCACUUAUCAAUAUAUCCGUGUCUGGCUAGAGCGCGGCAGACUAGCAAUGCUGACUCCAAACUCUCCCAAAUUAGUAGUAAAAUUUGUUCUUAAUGAUGGAAAUGUCCACUUGAUAUCUUUGAAAAUCAAGCCAUAUAAAAUUGAACUGUAUCAGUCUUCACAAAACCUAGGAUUUAUUUCUGCUUCUACGUGGAAAAUCGAAAAGGGAGAUGUCAUCUACAUUGGUGGCCUACCUGACAAGCAAGAGACUGAACUUAAUGGUGGAUUCUUCAAAGGCUGUAUCCAAGAUGUAAGACUAAACAACCAAAAUCUGGAAUUCUUUCCAAAUCCAACAAACAAUGCAUCUCUCAAUCCAGUUCUUGUCAAUGUAACCCAAGGCUGUGCUGGAGACAACAGCUGCAAGUCCAACCCCUGUCACAAUGGAGGUGUUUGCCAUUCCCGGUGGGAUGACUUCUCCUGUUCCUGUCCUGCCCUCACAAGUGGGAAAGCCUGUGAGGAGGUUCAGUGGUGUGGAUUCAGCCCGUGUCCUCACGGAGCCCAGUGCCAGCCGGUGCUUCAAGGAUUUGAAUGUAUUGCAAAUGCUGUUUUUAAUGGACAAAGCGGUCAAAUAUUAUUCAGAAGCAAUGGGAAUAUUACCAGAGAACUCACCAAUAUCACAUUUGGUUUCAGAACAAGGGAUGCAAAUGUAAUAAUAUUGCAUGCAGAAAAAGAGCCUGAAUUUCUUAAUAUUAGCAUUCAAGAUUCCAGAUUAUUCUUUCAAUUGCAAAGUGGCAACAGCUUUUAUAUGCUAAGUCUGACAAGUUUGCAGUCAGUGAAUGAUGGCACAUGGCACGAAGUGACCCUUUCCAUGACAGACCCACUGUCCCAGACCUCCAGGUGGCAAAUGGAAGUGGACAACGAAACACCUUUUGUGACCAGCACAAUUGCUACUGGAAGCCUCAACUUUUUGAAGGAUAAUACAGAUAUUUAUGUGGGAGACAGAGCUAUUGACAAUAUAAAGGGCCUGCAAGGGUGUCUAAGUACAAUAGAAAUCGGAGGCAUUUAUCUCUCUUACUUUGAAAAUGUUCAUGGUUUCAUUAAUAAACCUCAGGAAGAGCAAUUUCUCAAAAUCUCUACCAAUUCAGUGGUCACUGGCUGUUUGCAGUUAAAUGUCUGCAACUCCAACCCCUGUUUGCAUGGAGGAAACUGUGAAGACAUCUAUAGCUCUUAUCAUUGCUCCUGUCCCUUGGGAUGGUCAGGGAAACACUGUGAACUCAACAUCGAUGAAUGCUUUUCAAACCCCUGUAUCCAUGGCAACUGCUCUGACAGAGUUGCAGCCUACCACUGCACAUGUGAGCCUGGAUACACUGGUGUGAACUGUGAAGUGGAUAUAGACAACUGCCAGAGUCACCAGUGUGCAAAUGGAGCCACCUGCAUUAGUCAUACUAAUGGCUAUUCUUGCCUCUGUUUUGGAAAUUUUACAGGAAAAUUUUGCAGACAGAGCAGAUUACCCUCAACAGUCUGUGGGAAUGAGAAGACAAAUCUCACUUGCUACAAUGGAGGCAACUGCACAGAGUUCCAGACUGAAUUAAAAUGUAUGUGCCGGCCAGGUUUUACUGGAGAAUGGUGUGAAAAGGACAUUGAUGAGUGUGCCUCUGAUCCGUGUGUCAAUGGAGGUCUGUGCCAGGACUUACUCAACAAAUUCCAGUGCCUCUGUGAUGUUGCCUUUGCUGGCGAGCGCUGCGAGGUGGACGUAAGCAGCCUCUCCUUUUAUGUCUCUCUCUUAUUCUGGCAGAAUCUUUUUCAGCUUCUUUCUUACCUCAUUUUGCGUAUGAAUGACGAGCCAGUUGUUGAGUGGGGUGAACAGGAAGAUUAUUAACAUACAUUUGAACAUUCCCAAAUGAAAAAAAAAGCCAUUGAAUUUCAAGAAAUGCCUUGAUUCAUUUUAGAUCUCUGGGGAAGAAAAAGGAAAUAAAAACCAUCUCAAUAAUUAAGUUGGCAGAUGACUUGAUCUCCGACAUUUUCACCACUAUUGGCUCAGUGACUGUCGCCUUGUUACUGAUCCUCUUGCUGGCCAUUGUUGCUUCUGUUGUCACCUCCAACAAAAGGGCAACUCAGGGAACCUACAGCCCCAGCCGUCAGGAGAAGGAGGGCUCCCGAGUGGAAAUGUGGAACUUGAUGCCACCCCCUGCAAUGGAGAGACUGAUUUAGGAGCAUUGUGUCCCUUCGAGAUGGGGAUCCACACACUGUGAAUGUGAUGACUGUACUUCAGGUAUCUCUGACAUACCUGACAAUGUUAAUCUGCAACUGGGAUUACACUGGAACUACAGGAAUGAUUCCUUUGACCACCUUAAAAACUUUCACAGUGGUUCCGCUCGACACCAUUGUUUUAUUAUAUUAUAUCAGCCAAUUGCAAAAAAAGUCUGUGCCAGUAAUUUCAGCCUUAUAAUUAGCAAAAACAUCUUCCAGAGAAUAAAGUCUUCUGUGGCUUUAGUGGCUAUCACUGAAACUCUUUCCUCUUUUCAACCUGGGAACAAAUUUUAGUUUUCAUUUUAGGUUUCUGUACUUUCUGUAGUUUCUGUGUAAACUGCCAUAUGUUUACAUGGAAACUACAGGAAAAAAUUGGCUACAUUUCUCACUUCUCCUAUCAUGUGGUCAAAGUUAUUGUUGUAUACCAGCGAUGGGAUGUAUACUUUUGUCCUUCAUUCAUGGAUUCAGAGAAAGCUCUGGGAAUGACUUAUGGUCCAAAAAAGUGACCCAAUGGCAACAAAUAAAAAUUGAAAUGCA